UACGUAGGGUGUGAGCGUUGUCCGGAAUUAUUGGGCGUAAAGGGCUCGUAGGCGGUUUGUCGCGUCGGGAGUGAAAUCCACUGGCUUAACUGGUGGCUUGCUUUCGAUACGGGCAGACUGGAGGUAUGCAGGGGAGAACGGAAUUCCUGGUGUAGCGGUGAAAUGCGCAGAUAUCAGGAGGAACACCGGUGGCGAAGGCGGGUCUC
rnacentral:rRNA from 1 species